rnacentral:rRNA from 1 species
CUACGGGAGGCAGCAGUAGGGAAUCUUCCGCAAUGGACGAAAGUCUGACGGAGCAACGCCGCGUGAACGAUGAAGGCCUUCGGGUCGUAAAGUUCUGUUGUUAGGGAAGAACAAGUACCAGAGUAACUGCUGGUACCUUGACGGUACCUAACCAGAAAGCCACGGCUAACUACGUGCCAGCAGCCGCGGUAAUACGUAGGUGGCAAGCGUUGUCCGGAAUUAUUGGGCGUAAAGCGCGCGCAGGUGGUUUCUUAAGUCUGAUGUGAAAGCCCACGGCUCAACCGUGGAGGGUCAUUGGAAACUGGGGAACUUGAGUGCAGAAGAGGAAAGUGGAAUUCCAAGUGUAGCGGUGAAAUGCGUAGAGAUUUGGAGGAACACCAGUGGCGAAGGCGACUUUCUGGUCUGUAACUGACACUGAGGCGCGAAAGCGUGGGGAGCGAACAGGAUUAGAUACCCUGGUAGUCCACGCCGUAAACGAUGAGUGCUAAGUGUUAGAGGGUUUCCGCCCUUUAGUGCUGCAGCAAACGCAUUAAGCACUCCGCCUGGGGAGUACGGUCGC